UACGUAGGGGGCGAGCGUUGUCCGGAAUCAUUGGGCGUAAAGCGCGCGCAGGCGGCCCUUUAAGUCUGAUGUGAAAGCCCACGGCUCAACCGUGGAGGGUCAUUGGAAACUGGGGGGCUUGAGUGCAGGAGAGGAGAGCGGAAUUCCUGGUGUAGCGGUGAAAUGCGUAGAGAUCAGGAGGAACACCGAUGGCGAAGGCAGCUCUCUGGCCUGUAACUGACGCUGAGGCGCGAAAGCGUGGGGAGCAAACAGG
rnacentral:rRNA from 1 species